CGGGGAUUGGGCGCGUUGGUGUGCCACUCGGCUUGGGACCGAGCAAACAGGGCGGUUCAACUCCGUCAUCCCCGA
rnacentral:tRNA from 1 species